GACGAACGCUGGCGGCGUGCUUAACACAUGCAAGUCGAACGAUGAAGCCUUAGCUUGCUUUGGUGGAUUAGUGGCGAACGGGUGAGUAACACGUGAGCAACGUGCCCAGGACUCUGGAAUAACCGCGGGAAACCGUGGCUAAUACCGGAUAGGUGCCGAGGCCGCAUGGUCUUCGGUUGGAAAGUUUUUGCGGUUCUGGAUCGGCUCACGGCCUAUCAGCUUGUUGGUGGGGUAAUGGCCUACCAAGGCGACGACGGGUAGCCGGCCUGAGAGGGUGACCGGCCACACUGGGACUGAGACACGGCCCAGACGCCUACGGGAGGCAGCAGUGGGGAAUAUUGCACAAUGGGCGCAAGCCUGAUGCAGCAACGCCGCGUGGGGGAUGACGGCCUUCGGGUUGUAAACCUCUUUUAGUAGGGAAGAAGCGCAAGUGACGGUACCUGCAGAAAAAGCACCGGCUAACUACGUG
rnacentral:rRNA from 1 species